UCCCUCUUUGUGAUAGAUUUCCGAUAACUCACUUGAAGAUCGCCAACAAUCAUUUUCACCAGUUUCAGUUCUUCACAAGAAUAAGGUGUUGUGAGUUAAUUGUCCAAGUGUUAGGAUCUCGUUUUUGAGCAAAAUAUGUGGGAGUGUUUUGAUCAAAGUGUUAAAAGUGGGAGCUAAUGGUAAAAUGAUACACAUUAUGUAAUUUAGCCAAGAGUGUGAGAGGUUGUGCCCUAGUAGCUGGGGGCUGGGACCAUCUGUGUUCCAAAAAAGGUUAACAAAGUUAAGAAGACCGAAACUGAUGAGCUUGAGACGAAAAAAAAGAAGUGGAGCUUCUGAAGAAUAUAAGAUCAAUUAGUGAAAGGGAAUGGACUUGUGGAGAGAUGGAUCCAUAAAGCCUUGUUGCAGAAUUUAUUCUAGAAGUUAAAAUUACUUUAUUAUUUAUGUUUAAGUUAGAGUUAAUUUUAUUUAAGAUAUAACAGGUCAUUUGAUUUGAAUGUCUAACUUGUAAGGAGAACCUCUAUUAUCUCAGUACUUGU